AGAGUAAGAUCCUGGCUCAGGACGAACGCUGGCGGCGUGCCUAAUACAUGCAAGUCGAACGCUUCUUUCCUCGGGAGUGCUUGCACUCAAUUGGAAAGAGGAGUGGCGGACGGGUGAGUAACACGUGGGUAACCUACCCAUCAGAGGCCCAUAACACUUGGAAACAGGUGCUAAUACCGCAUAACAGUUUAUGCCGCAUGGCAUAAGAGUGAAAGCGGCUUUCGCCUGUCGCUGAUGGAUGGACCCGCGGUGCAUUAGCUAGUUGGUGAGGUAACGGCUCACCAAGGCCACGAUGCAUAGCCGACCUGAGAGGGUGAUCGGCCACACUGGGACUGAGACACGGCCCAGACUCUACGCCAGGCAGCAGUAGGGAAUCUUCGGCAAUGGACGAAAGUCUGACCGAGCAACGCCGCGUGAGUGAAGAAGGUUUUCGCUUCGUAAAACUCUGUUGUUAGAGAAGAACAAGGACGUUAGUAACUGAACGUCCCCUGACGGUAUCUAACCAGAAAGCCACGGCUAACUACGUGCCAGCAGCCGCGGUAAUACGUAGGUGGCAAGCGUUGUCCGGAUUUAUUGGGCGUAAAGCGAGCGCAGGCGGUUUCUUAAGUCUGAUGUGAAAGCCCCCGGCUCAACCGGCCAGGGUCAUUGGAAACUGCCAGACUUGAGUGCAGAAGAGGAGAGUGGAAUUCCAUGUGUAGCGGUGAAAUGCGUAGAUAUAUGGAGGAACACCAGUGGCGAAGGCGGCUCUCUGGUCUGUAACUGACGCUGUCGCUCGAAAGCGUGGGGAGCAUUCAGGAUUAGAUACCCUGGUAGUCCACGCCGUAAACGAUGAGUGCUAAGUGUUGGAGGGUUUCCGCCCUUCAGUGCUGCAGCAAACGCAUUAAGCACUCCGCCUGGGGAGUACGACCGCAAGCUUGAAACUCAAAGGAAUUGACGGAAACCCGACAAGCGGUGGAGCAUGUGUUUAAUUCGAAGCAACGCGAAGAAGCUUACCAGGUCUUGACAUCCUUUGACCACUCUAGAGAUAGAGCUUUCCCUUCGCCCACAAAGUGACAGUGGUGCAUGGUUGUCGUCAGCUCGUGUCGUGAGAUGUUGGGUUAAGUCCGCAACGAGCGCAACCCUUAUUGUAACUUGCCAUCAUAUAGUUGGGCACUCUAGCGAGACUGCCGGUGACAAACCGGAGGAAGGUGGGGAUGACGUCUUAUCAUCAUGCCCCUUAUGACCUGGGCUACACACGUGCUACAAUGCCUAGUACAACGAGUCGCUAGACCGCGAGGUCAUGCUUUUCUCUUAA
rnacentral:rRNA from 1 species